rnacentral:rRNA from 1 species
CCUACGGGAGGCUGCAGUGGGGAAUUUUGCUCAAUGGGGGCAACCCUGACGCAGCAACGCCGCGUGCGGGACGAAGGCCCUCGGGCUGUAAACCGCUUUCAGCAGGGAAGACGUCGACGGUACCUGCAGAAGAAGCCCCGGCUAACUACGUGCCAGAAGCCGCGGUAAUACGUAGGGGGCGAGGGUUAUCCGGAUUCAUUGGGCGUAAAGCGCGCGUAGGCGGCCGCCUAGGCGGAACCUCUAACCCCGGGGCUAAACCUCGGGCCGGGUUUCGGACUGGGCGGCUCGAGUGCGGUAGAGGAGGGCGGAAUUCCCGGUGUAGCGGUGGAAUGCGUAGAUAUCGGGAAGAACACCGAUGGCGAAGGCAGCUCUCUGGGCCGUCACUGACGCUGAGGCGCGAAAGCUGGGGGAGCGAACAGGAUUAGAUACCCCUGUAGUC